rnacentral:rRNA from 1 species
UACGUAGGGGGCAAGCGUUGUCCGGAAUUAUUGGGCGUAAAGAGCUCGUAGGCGGUUCGUCGCGUCGGCUGUGAAAUCCCGAGGCUCAACCUCGGGUCUGCAGUCGAUACGGGCGGACUGGAGUUCGGCAGGGGAGACUGGAAUUCCUGGUGUAGCGGUGAAAUGCGCAGAUAUCAGGAGGAACACCGGUGGCGAAGGCGGGUCUCUGGGCCGAUACUGACGCUCAUGCACGAAAGCGUGGGGAGCAAACAGG